CAGAGAGUUUACACACUGCACCUCACACACACACACCUGAGAGAGCUGGACCUGAGAUACAAUCACCCAGGAGACUCAGGAGUGAGUUUGCUGCUAAACUGGACACACUCACACUGCUUGUGGACCAUGGAGGAGAGAACAGGGCCAAUCCAGGACCCAGGAAAUACGGCUGUCAGCUCACACUGGAUCCAAACACAGCGAACAGAGAGCUGUCUCUGUCUGAGGGGAACAGGAAGGUGACACACACACUGGGGAGAGUGGAGCCAUAUCCUGAUCAUCCAGAGAGAUUUGAGUUCCAUCUCCAGGUUGUGUGCAGAGAGAGUGUGUG